GUUUUGAUACUUAAACUUUUGGAGGAUUAAAUUUGCGAAAACAGAAGCUGAGGACCAAAGCAGCUACAGGACUGACCUGCCCAAAACCACACAGUGAGUCUGCAGCCCGGCUUCGGACCAGAGUUUCUUCUGACAAGCGGCAAGCUCACUGAUGGCCACACCCGCUCAUCCUGGAUAACAGUAUUCCCCAGUGGAAUUAACACGAUGCAUCUUCCUGGAGUAUCAUUUUUACUUUAAGAUUUAAAAGCAAGCAAGCAAAUUAAAUAGUCAUUUAAAUCAUAUUUAUAUUAAGCCUAACAUGGCCAUAUUGUAGAGCAAACCAUCGGGAUUUAAUAAACAAAACAGGAAACUUCAAAGAAUGCUUUUUCUUGGAAAGAAGGCAGGAGAGCAAGAAAAGCGACUGCCUCAGCCUUUAUCACUCUCCAGACCAGUGCCAAGGAGCCAAAGAGAAGAAAUGAGAAUAACCAAGGUAUGCUGUGUCCAAUUAAUUAACUAUUAGCAAACAAAGGACCAAACAAUGUGACUGUAAGCUUCAUGACAGCAGGGAGUUUGUAUAUCUUUUCACCUGUGUAUCGGCAGUACCUAGCACCAUACCUGGCACAUUGUAGAUAAUAUAUAUUUGUGGAAUAAAUGAAUGAAUGAACAAUUAAAAAAUACAUUUGACUGUUUCCUAGUUUGCAUUUUCUUGAGUGGCAGAGAGAGUAAUGGACUUUUAGUUAGUGCCCUUGGAAUGCCCGCAGGGACGUAUCUCCAGAAGGAACUCAUUCUCUUGCAUUGGAAG
rnacentral:lncRNA from 1 species